UGGUGGCUUAACAUCUAGUGGCAACUACUUCAUGCACAUGCAUGUUCAGAAGUAAAAUAAAAAAUCACUAUAAGAAUUUUUAUUUAACAUAUACUAAAUCAAUAAUAUAAGCAAGGCACAUAAUCACCAGAAAAAAACAGCAGUGUAUUCUAUGUGAUAACAAAUAAGUUUAAUACAAUUACAUAAUAAAUCUACUGGUGUGAACAAUUUCAAUAAAAUACUGUGAACUCAUUAUUCGUUGGACACCAAUUUUUGUUGAUUUCCUUGGUAUCCACGAAAAUAAACGGAUGCACAGAAGUAAUAACUUUGAAUAAAUAUGAUAACCCCGUAUAAGUUUUCUAAUACGAUUACCCGGUAUAAGUGCAUUUCUGCAUAAAAAAAUACAUUAUUUUCAAAUAUCAAAUUAUUUCAAUCAUACAAUUUUCAGCAGGUUUAAUAUUAGCUGCCUUGUUUUGUAUAUAAUAAGACACAAACAUUUAUUUGUGUUACAAAGUCAGAAAAGAUUUAGAUCAUAAGACAAUACUAACAUUUAAAGUUAAUUUAUUCAGAUUGAAUAUUAUUAAAUUUAGUAUCACAUAAUAGGAUUAUGAAUUAAAAUCAACAUGAAUGCAUAUGUUGUGGUGCUAAAUAUGUACCUCAACAUUCAAAGUAUUCAUAAAGAACUGAAGAAGGCCAAUGGCCGAAAUGUCUCAAAAACUGGUUUAUUGAUAGGAGAAUUCAAAGUAUUUGAUAACAGUUAAAUCAACAAACAGUUCAAAGAUUUACAUUUAAGAUAUCUAGGUAAAGAUAGACAUUUAAAAAGCCAUAAUCCAAAAAAGGAAGCAACUGCCCCAAGAGCGCAAAAAAUACCUAUGCCCUGUGCAAAUGGAAAUUAUUGCAAAAAAUAGAAUGGGAUAUCAGAGGCACAUUUAGAGGGGGCCCAGGUGCCUCCUUUUUCUUGGAAAAAUUUGAUUGAUUAUAUAGAGAAUCACUAAGCAUGACAGGAUUGGGCCCCCUCUUAGGCAGUCAAUGGACCCCACACUUAUGGAAAUUUCUAGAUCUGCCACUAGAUAUUUACAAGCUAUUUAAUCAGAAGCAAAUAAAAUGACUCUGUUUGAAAAUCAUGCAUUAGGAUCUGAUACUUAAAAGUGUAUAAAUAUUUUGUCAAAUAUGACUUUAGAAAAUCCCAUAACUGUUUUUAGAUUAAAAAUAUAAAAUUGAGCUUCUUUUUAUCAAUCCCUACAGUAAUAAAGUUUUGAGGAAAUCAAUUCAGGUACAUUGGAGUCAGUGUUUGGUAUAUGAAAAAUUUAAUUGGUUCAGGUCCCAUAACAACAAAAUCAAAAGGGAAAAUCCAAAAAACCCUUUAUAUUAAUGUUGUGUAAAUAUUACAUGAAAAUUGGUUAAAACAACCUUAGUUAUUGUAAGAAGUGUUUACAGACAGACAUUUGUUUACCAUAAUACAUACUGUGUUUGACAGGUUAAAAAUAAAAUUCAACAAUAACAGAAAAGCAAUAUAACAACUUAAAACCUGUGCGAGAAAAUACCCCAUACCACUAUCCAGUACCCACAUAUUAUAAUAUGUAUCAUUUCUCUGUUUCAGAAUCUAUAUAUAGAACUAUGGGUUAUUUCCUUGUUCAUAUCACACAAUGAAACUAAUUAAGGUGGUACCCAACACUUUCACUAAAAUUAAUUUGGCUCGUUUAAUUUUCAUAAAAUUUUGAUAUUUACUUUGACCCUUAACAAAAAUAAAAAAUUCAAAAAUUUGAACAAAGCUUUUAUCAGAAAAAUUACACUAUUUAUAACAGUUUGACAAACCUAAUUUGAUCAUUGAGAAGCUUUAUAUUGCCUUUACAAGGCAACGUAAUUAAAACGUUUGGCUGAUAUUACAGAGUUAUCUCCCUGUAGUGUUAGGUACCACCUUUUAAAAGUCACAUAAAUAGUUGAAUUUCUAUUGUUUAGGAGGUUGUUAGUGAAACACAAAG
rnacentral:lncRNA from 1 species